GCAAGUCGAGGGGUAACAGGAGUGCUUGCACUCGCUGACGACCGGCGAACGGGUGAGUAAUGCAUAAGAAAUCUGCCCAUGAGACAGGGAUAGCCAUUCUAACGGAUGAUUAAUACCUGAUAGUAAUAUUGGAGGGCAUCCUCCUUUAUUUAAAUGCUUUAGUGCUCAUGGAUGAUCUUAUGUGACAUCAGCUAGUUGGUGAGGUAAUGGCUCACCAAGGCAAUGACGUCUAGCCGACCUGAGAGGGUGAUC
rnacentral:rRNA from 1 species